UACGUAGGGGGCUAGCGUUGUCCGGAAUCAUUGGGCGUAAAGCGCGUGUAGGCGGCCCGGUAAGUCCGCUGUGAAAGUCGGGGGCUCAACCCUCGAAUGCCGGUGGAUACUGUCGGGCUAGAGUGCGGAAGAGGCGAGUGGAAUUCCUGGUGUAGCGGUGAAAUGCGCAGAUAUCAGGAGGAACACCGAUUGCGAAGGCAGCUCGCUGGGACGUAACUGACGCUGAGGAGCGAAAGCAUGGGGAGCGAACAGG
rnacentral:rRNA from 1 species